CUGCUCAGGACGAACGCUGGCGGCGUGCCUAAUACAUGCAAGUAGAACGCACAGGAUGCACCGUAGUUUACUACACCGUAUUCUGUGAGUUGCGAACGGGUGAGUAACGCGUAGGUAACCUGCCUGGUAGCGGGGGAUAACUAUUGGAAACGAUAGCUAAUACCGCAUAAGAACAUUUACUGCAUGGUAGAUGUUUAAAAGGUGCAAAUGCAUCACUACCAGAUGGACCUGCGUUGUAUUAGCUAGUAGGUGAGGUAACGGCUCACCUAGGCGACGAUACAUAGCCGACCUGAGAGGGUGAUCGGCCACACUGGGACUGAGACACGGCCCAGACUCCUACGGGAGGCAGCAGUAGGGAAUCUUCGGCAAUGGGGGGAACCCUGACCGAGCAACGCCGCGUGAGUGAAGAAGGUUUUCGGAUCGUAAAGCUCUGUUGUUAAGGAAGAACGAGUGUGAGAAUGGAAAGUUCAUACUGUGACGGUACUUAACCAGAAAGGGACGGCUAACUACGUGCCAGCAGCCGCGGUAAUACGUAGGUCCCGAGCGUUGUCCGGAUUUAUUGGGCGUAAAGCGAGCGCAGGCGGUUAGAUAAGUCUGAAGUUAAAGGCAGUGGCUCAACCAUUGUAGGCUUUGGAAACUGUUUAACUUGAGUGCAGAAGGGGAGAGUGGAAUUCCAUGUGUAGCGGUGAAAUGCGUAGAUAUAUGGAGGAACACCGGUGGCGAAAGCGGCUCUCUGUCUGUAACUGACGCUGAGGCUCGAAAGCGUGGG
rnacentral:rRNA from 1 species